GUUCUUCCUCCCUCUGUGUUUACAGUCUCAUCUACCAUUCUUCCCUUUGCUCCAUUCAUACUGGCUUUCUUCAUAUCCUUCAACACACUAGGGUAGUUCUUGCCUUAGGGCCAUUACAUCUGCUCCUCUGUAUGCCAGAAAGUAAGGAAGUAUUCAAAGAAUGGUGAGGACAUGUCAAAAGGACACAGAAGCCAGUUUGAAAGGCUCCCACUCCCCCAACAGGACCAGAAUGGCGACAAUUUGAGAAUUAAAUAAGAAUAGCAACAGAUCAUAACCUAUUGUAUAAAAUAAGAAUCCAUGCAUCGAAACUGACAUAAAUAAAUAAAUAGGGAGAAAUCAAAGCUUUUUGUUACAGUGGAAUGCCAAUACUGAAUGUAGAAGAGAUGAUGGAAUUAGAAAAAUCACCAUUUGGCAACCAUAAUAAUAAUAAUAAUAAAUUCAACCAAGAAAUGUCUAUGUAUGCUAAGCAACUUGGUGAAAAUUUGACGAGGAAUGGAAUAUUUACAUCAUCUAAAAAUAACUCCCUACAAAAUACUUAUUAACUAAGAAGGGGAGAAGAACAAUGUUAUAAAGGAAAAACCUAGCAAAGGCCACUUAAUUCGUGAACACAGUUAACAUCAAUAAUAGGACCAAAUUAAAGUGUUACCACCAAUGGUGUGUAAUGAGGAAAAACCCAGCAUCACUUCUGUGCUAUUCCUGCUAGUAAUGCAUAACCUGAAUCUAAUCAAGAGGAAACAUCAGACUAACCCAAAUUGAGGAAAAUUCUAUAAAAUAACUCACCUAUAGUCUUUAAAAGUAGCAAAGUCAUGAAAAUCAAAGAAAGACUAUGGAACUGUUUUGAUUAAAGACUAAAGAGAUGUGAUAAUUAAAUGUGUCACUAUAAAGGACGUUAUUGGGACAAUUGGCUAAACUGGAAUGGAGUUUGUGGAUUAGAUGAUAGUAAUGCAUCAAUGUUAAUUGCUUUACUUUGAUAAUAUGUGGAUGAUGAGGCAUCAUAUGGGCAACGUACUCUCAAAGGUUCAGGGGAAAAAAGCCUUUUUCAUACUGUUAUUGUAACUUUCUUGUAAGUUUGAAAUUUUUUAAAAGAAAAAAGUAUUAGCAAGAGGGUCCAAAAGGGUACCAUUGGAAACAUUGGAACUGACUGCCAAUAUCUUAAAUGUAAAUAUGAUUCCUGGAAUUGUGGGUAAAAAACAGUGCUUUGUGAAUGUAACAAUAGCAAUUGUUUUCCAUCUAACCACACCCUCCAAGACCUGCUCAAGACCUACCCUCUCCUAGAAGCCUUCUUUGAGUCUCUUCCAGUCCACGCUCAUCAUUCAUUCCACAUCUGAACUCAGGAUACAUAUUUUUUGUAUCACUUUUUUGACACUUAAUCAUGUAUAAUCUUGGGACUUCUCUGGUACUAUUGUCUUAUAUAAAUUUCAAGUUCUUGUUUAAAUCUUCUCAUGAAUAUGUUAUCUCCAUAAUUAUGCUGUAAUCAGCUUAGGAGCAGGUACCAUAUAUGAUCUUUUUCUUCCGAAAGUACUUAGCAUACAUUUUUAAAUUACAUUUCCACGUCCCAAGGACUGUCAAAAAAUAAUUAAUCUCACUUGGCAAAUAUUUCUUGCAUACCAACUAUGCAUUAGGCACUGUAAAUAAUAAUUCCUUAUGUGUGUAGAAUGCUUUACAAUUUAUGUAGCACGUACACAUUCAUUAUCUUGUUUGUUCUACAUAACAACUCUGUGAGGUAGGUGCUGCCACAUGAUAAACACGUUCAGAGAGGAACUGAUUUACUGGAAGUCACACAGCAAGUUAAUAGCAGAAUUGGGACGCCAGUUCUUCAGGUUCCAAGUCCAGUGCCUUUUCCACACCACCAUAGGAAACAGAUAUGGAAUCGGAGCCAUUGAGGGAUGAAGUGAUCUUCCCAAAGUCACGCAGCUAGUGAGGGGCUGAGCAAGAAUUCAAAUCCACACAGUCUGUUUUCAGAGUCUUUGGUCUUCACCACUACGCUCCUUUGGUGAGAAUGGUUAUUGAUUAUUUUUCAUCGACACAGCUCAGCCUCCUGGAAUUAAAGCGUGAAGAGUGAAUCUGGAGGGACAAACUGAAGAUAUCCAGCCAAGAUACAUUGCUUAGUUUUGCCUAAGUUUACAAAAGUGGAAUCAUACAGUUUGUAUUCUUCUGUGACUUGCCUUUUUUGUUUACUCAUUAGAGUAACUCGUGUGUAGAUGUAGUUCAUUUAUGUUCAGUUCUGUAUAAUAUCCCAUUGCAUGCAUCUACCGCAUUAUAUUUAUCCAUUCUACAGUUGAUAGACAUUUGGACUGUUUCCAGAUUUUUGUUUUUAUAGACAAUGCUGCUGUGGACAUUCUUAUCUAUAUCUUGGUGCACAAAUGCAAGAAUGCAUGUAAGUGUGCAAUUUCUGGGUAGUAGGAUAGUGUGAGUUAAACUUUAAUAGAUAACACCAAACUAUUUUCCAAAGUCACCGUAAUUCACACUCCAAUUAGCACUAAAUGAGGGUUUCUGUUGCUCCACAAUCUCACCAACACUUGGUAUUAUCAAACUUUCUAAUUUUGUCAGUCUGGUAGGUGGGAAACAGUAUCUUUUGGUUUUAAUUUUCAUUUCUUUGUUUCUAACAAAGUUGAACAUAUUUUCACAUGCUUAUGGGCCAUACAUACGAUGAUUUUUUUUCUUUUGCUCAUUGAAAAACGAGUAGAAAUAGAAAUAUUUCUACUGAGUUUUUCUGCCUUUCUUUUGUCAGUUACAUAUGUUGUAAACAUCUUCUUUCCUUUAGUGCCUUGCUUUUUUCACUCAUAAUAUGGAUCUUUUGGUGCACAGUUGUUGUUAAUUUUAAUAUAAUUGAAUUUAUACUAUUUUUCAUGGUUUGCACUUUUGGUUCCCCUUUAAGAAAUCUUUCUCUACCCUGAGGUCAUAAAGAUAUUUCUUAUUUUGUCUUCUAAAAGUUCCUUUGGUUUACAUUAUACUAUAAGCUUUGGGUCUUUCAUAUUUAAGUCUUAAAUCUACCUGGAACUGAUGUUUGUGCAUCGUUUAAGAUAGGGAUCAGUUUUAAUUUUUUCCAUAUAGAUAACCAAUUAUUGAAGAGUCCAUCUUUUCCCAACUGAUCUGUAAAUGCUUUCUGUGGCAAAAAUUUUGUUUCCAUAUAUACGUUAGUUUUUUCUUGUAUUUCCUGUGUACUCUGCUAGCCUGCCACAGCGCCCAAGAGUCUACCAUUAGGGACUGCAGCUCAUGAAGACUCUUAUUUGAUAUUAGUUCCCCCUGGGGAAAUGACAUAUUAAGUCAUUAUUUUUCAGAUCAUCUCAACGGGAAAAUAGUUUAUUAGCACUUAUUAUCUAGUAGUAUCUAAGAGUGUGGUCACGUUGACGUUGGGGGAAGGCAGAACAGGCUCUAAGGCAGCGUGAAGACGCUGGUCACCUGUAAGAGCGGUGCUCUUUGUAAAGGGGAGCAGAUGAAGGAAGCUAGAGAGGGGUGACCUGAUCCUAGCAGCCGAGGAUACCCAUGCAGAUCUAAUGUGCUGAAGAUGAGCAGGUUUGUGGAGCAGAAGUAGUUCUAGAAUCAUAUUCUCAAUAUAAUGUAAAGAAAUCUGCUUAUGUGAUGAGUAAAAAAAUAUAUAUACAUACCUAUAUUUUUAGCUGUUCUUUUAAAGAGUCGGUUUAUUGAGUCAUGCAUAGACAAUGCAAGUAUUUAAUUUAGACAAUCACCAGCUGGUU